rnacentral:rRNA from 1 species
UACGGAAGGUCCGGGCGUUAUCCGGAUUUAUUGGGUUUAAAGGGAGCGCAGGCGGGAUAUUAAGCGUGACGUGAAAUGCCGCGGCUCAACCGUGGAAGUGCGUCGCGAACUGGUUUCCUUGAGUGCGGUCGCCGCAGGCGGAAUUCGUGGUGUAGCGGUGAAAUGCUUAGAUAUCACGAAGAACCCCGAUUGCGAAGGCAGCUUGCGAGUCCGUAACUGACGCUAAAGCUCGAAGGUGCGGGUAU